rnacentral:rRNA from 1 species
UACAGAGGUCUCAAGCGUUGUUCGGAUUCAUUGGGCGUAAAGGGUGCGUAGGCGGCGCGGUAAGUCGGGUGUGAAAUCUUGGAGCUUAACUCCGAAACUGCAUUCGAUACUGCCGUGCUUGAGGACUGGAGAGGAGACUGGAAUUUACGGUGUAGCGGUGAAAUGCGUAGAUAUCUGGAGGAACACCGGUGGCGAAGGCGGCGUUCUGGGACUGCAACUGACACUGAGGGAACGAAAGCCAGGGGAGCAAACGGG